AGAAGAUGAUUGUUAUUCCAACCCUAGUGGUCAUAUCGAAUUGAGUCUGACUACGACGAGUAUGUUACGUGGUUCCGAGAACCAAGUUCGAUGUAGCACCUGACUUAAGCCGGAAGAAUUAAUCAAAGCGAUCAGUAGAGGUAUUACGACGGUUGCUUGUAGCUAGAAAUGCUACCUUUUAAGAUGAGAUUAGAACAUGAAGGAAAGUAUAGUUUGUUCUGGAAGACUCUAAGAGACCUGAGUCUAAGCAUAGAAACAUAUGAUGAUAGGUCAUUAGAAUAUGACACAUCGUUCCAUUGUAGUAAUAAAUGAACUUAUCUUAAGUUCGUAUCCAGUGAGGAUCGAGAUUGUGACUUGAAGAUCAUAAUUUGGAGUCUAACGUGAGAUAGGGAGCAAGUGCAAGAUCGAGCACCGCUUGCAGUCAAGGAGUCCAAGAGUUAGAUACUCAUUCGAAGAAACCAGGAAGUUACGAUUAUUACCUAGGAUGAAGAGAUAACGUAUGGAGUCAUUAUAUUGUCCUGUUUCGUUAAUGAUUCCGGGACGAAAUCAUCCUAAGGGUGAGAUAAUUGUAACGCCCGUAGAUCCGGGCUAGUCAAUUUAGAGAUAAUAGGGGUCGAAAAUGACUUUUCU
rnacentral:lncRNA from 1 species